rnacentral:tRNA from 1 species
GGUUGUCUAGUUUAAAUUUCAAAACACUAGACUGUCAAACUAGAGAUGCUUAUUAAGUGACACCCU